rnacentral:rRNA from 1 species
GCGGGUAACGCUGUGACGACGUACGUGUCUGCAGUCGACGCACAGCGCAUGGAUGCUUGCACCUUUCAAGUGAGUGGCGAACGGGUGAGUAACACGUGGACAACCUGCCUCAAGGCUGGGGAUAACAUUUGGAAACAGAUGCUAAUACCGAAUAAAACUUAGUGUCGCAUGACAAAAAGUUAAAAGGCGCUUCGGCGUCACCUAGAGAUGGAUCCGCGGUGCAUUAGUUAGUUGGUGGGGUAAAGGCCUACCAAGACAAUGAUGCAUAGCCGAGUUGAGAGACUGAUCGGCCACAUUGGGACUGAGACACGGCCCAAACUCCUACGGGAGGCUGCAGUAGGGAAUCUUCCACAAUGGGCGAAAGCCUGAUGGAGCAACGCCGCGUGUGUGAUGAAGGCUUUCGGGUCGUAAAGCACUGUUGUAUGGGAAGAACAGCUAGAAUAGGAAAUGAUUUUAGUUUGACGGUACCAUACCAGAAAGGGACGGCUAAAUACGUGCCAGCAGCCGCGGUAAUACGUAUGUCCCGAGCGUUAUCCGGAUUUAUUGGGCGUAAAGCGAGCGCAGACGGUUUAUUAAGUCUGAUGUGAAAGCCCGGAGCUCAACUCCGGAAUGGCAUUGGAAACUGGUUAACUUGAGUGCAGUAGAGGUAAGUGGAACUCCAUGUGUAGCGGUGGAAUGCGUAGAUAUAUGGAAGAACACCAGUGGCGAAGGCGGCUUACUGGACUGCAACUGACGUUGAGGCUCGAAGUGUGGGUAGCAAACAGGAUUAGAUACCCUGGUAGUCCACACCGUAAACGAUGACMCUAGGUGUAGGAGGUUCCGCCUCUAGUGCCGAAGCUACGCAUAGUGUCCGCCUGGGGAGUACGACGCAAGUGAACUCAAGAUGACGGGACCGCACAGCGGGUGGAGCAUGGGAUAUUCGAGCACGGAGACCUACCAGGCCUGACAUCAUGAGCUAAGAUGACGGUUCUCUUCGGAACAUAGGACAGGGCU